GAUAUCCUGGUGUGGCCCAUAUCCCAGAACCACAGGAUAAACAAGAAAUGUCUUCCUGAAGCACUGGUUCCACUGAGCGUAACUCAGUAGCUUUACUGAGGGCUUACUAUGUAGCAGGCACCUUUGCAUACGGCGUCUCAUCUCUUCGAAGCCUCAUGACAAACCCUUGAUGUGGAUGUGACUGGCCUCUUGAUCCAGAAAAGGAAGAGAGCUGAUCUUAGGUGAAUCAACUGUGGCCAACAAGUGGGGUCCAGAGAGGAGACUGGGAUUUUUGACCCAACCCAACCUAUCAACUGUGGACAGGAACCACAGAUAUGUUGGACAAAAUGGCUGCCCUGAAUCUAUAGCCAUUGUGACCAUGAAGGAUGAAGAAAACAUUGUAAUGUGCCAAUGGUCAAGAAGCCCCCUGCUUCCAUGCCCAGAAUUGACCAAGAGUCCUCAACACAAUGACUUCAGGCUCAAACAAUUACCAUCUGAAUGGAAGCUUUCUAGGAAAGAAACUCUGCUUGAUCUAAUUUGGAUCGGGUGCUCUUCUCUACUCCAUCAGUCAUAGCCAGAGGAUACAGCCACAGCUGAGACAGAUGGCGACCAGCGACACAUUCCUGUGAUUCUAUUGCCUUCUCAGCUUCUAUGCUUUGAAGAAACAAGCUUUCAUGUUGGAGAAGCCCAUGUGGCAAGUCACCAGCCAAGAGACAGCAAGGAACUGAGGCUGAGCUCAGUCCAACAUCAUUCCCCAGUAAAGCCUUCAGAUGAGGUCUCAGUCUUCACUGACACUUUAAUUCCAGUCUCAUGAGAGACCCUCACUCAGAGGACCCAAUGAAGCCAUGUCAGGAUUUCUGGUUCACAGAAACUGGAAGA